rnacentral:rRNA from 1 species
UACGUAGGAUCCAAGCGUUGUUCGGAUUUACUGGGCGUAAAGGGCGCGUAGGCGGCCACCGCAAGUCGACUGUGAAAUCUCCGGGCUUAACCCGGAAAGGUCAGCCGAUACUGCGGGGCUAGAGUGCAGAAGGGGCAACUGGAAUUCUCGGUGUAGCGGUGAAAUGCGUAGAUAUCGAGAGGAACACCUGCGGCGAAGGCGGGUUGCUGGGCUGACACUGACGCUGAUGCGCGAAAGCUAGGGGAGCGAACGGG